rnacentral:rRNA from 1 species
ACAUACGACCAUAGGACCCUGAGAACAAGGCUUCCCGUUCGCUCAGCCAUAUUUAAGCAGGGUACCGGCAGACUAGUAAUUGCGUGGGUGACCAGCAGUGAAUCCCUGCUGUUGUAUGUU